GUCUCUUUAAUGCUGAGGACUUCUAGGUGCUCGACUUAGAUUUUUUGUCCCAAAUCGGCAGAAUUUGAAGUUGCCAGAUGGUAGAUAGCAUCAGCCCGAGCAUUCUUCGAUCUCAAUAUUCUUUGGACAUUUAGCUUUUUGAAACUCUGGGAGAGAUCCUUUAUUUUUCGAAGGCAUCAGGAUAUCAUUGGAUCUUUGGCUUCGUAUUUACCUUGUACCUGACUCAUAAUGAGUUGGGAGUCGGAGAAUACCUUGACUUCAUUGGCGCCA
rnacentral:lncRNA from 1 species